rnacentral:rRNA from 1 species
AUGGUCACUCCGGCUUGUCGUCUCAAGAACCAAAUCCGGCUAUUUAAGACGAACGACAAGGGUAAACCUAUCCGCCCCUCUCCCGUCCGCGCCACCGCUUCCCUCGUCCGCUUCCACUCUAGCUCCACCCUCGCAGUAGUUGGAGGCGAAGCAAGCUACCGCAUUCAGGCGCUCAUCGCCAAUCCCAUCCUCGUGGCUGAAAACCAAGCCAUGUUGGAGUCGCUCCUGUCCGAGCGGGUGUUGGUGGCGAACCGCCGCCGUAUCCACCUCGCCGACGUGAGGCAUGAGCGGCUAUUCAUGAACGAGGACGAUGAGGAGGCCCCAGAGCUUCGCCCUGCAGCCAAUGAUCACGAGGCCAGCGGCUUCGGCAAGGGUGUCAUCUACAACUCCGACGACGACAAAGUAGAAGUAGGGAACUUUUCUUUCAAAUGUAGCUCGUUUUAUCUAUGCAUGAUGAAUUCAACGUUGCAUUGCAUGGAUGAGUAUGGAAAUAGGGGUUUGCAAACGAGGGGUGUGGUUGUAGUGGCGGACAAAUGA